rnacentral:rRNA from 1 species
CCUUCGGGUACAAUUGAGACAGGUGGUGCAUGGUUGUCGUCAGCUCGUGUCGUGAGAUGUUGGGUUAAGUCCCGCAACGAGCGCAACCCCUAUCAUUAGUUGCCAUCAGGUCAAGCUGGGGACUCUAAUGAAACUGCCUACGCAAGUAGUGAGGAAGGUGGGGAUGACGUCAAAUCAGCACGGCCCUUACGUCCUGGGCUACACACGUGCUACAAUGGCCGGUACAGAGCGCAGCGAAGCCGCGAGGCAAAGCGAAUCGCAAAAAGCCGGUCUCAGUACGGAUUGGAGUCUGAAACCCGACUCCAUGAAGUUGGAAUCGCUAGUAAUCGCGCAUCAGCAUGGCGCGGUGAAUACGUUCCCGGGCCUU